AUGAACGCUAGCUACAGGCUUAACACAUGCAAGUCGAGGGGCAUCAGGAAGAAAGCUUGCUUUCUUUGCUGGCGACCGGCGCACGGGUGAGUAACACGUAUCCAACCUGCCCUUUACUCGGGGAUAGCCUUUCGAAAGAAAGAUUAAUACCCGAUGGCAUAAUGAUUCCGCAUGGUUUCAUUAUUAAAGGAUUCCGGUAAAGGAUGGGGAUGCGUUCCAUUAGGUUGUUGGUGAGGUAACGGCUCACCAAGCCUUCGAUGGAUAGGGGUUCUGAGAGGAAGGUCCCCCACAUUGGAACUGAGACACGGUCCAAACUCCUACGGGAGGCAGCAGUGAGGAAUAUUGGUCAAUGGGCGCUAGCCUGAACCAGCCAAGUAGCGUGAAGGAUGAAGGCUCUAUGGGUCGUAAACUUCUUUUAUAUAAGAAUAAAGUGCAGUAUGUAUACUGUUUUGUAUGUAUUAUAUGAAUAAGGAUCGGCUAACUCCGUGCCAGCAGCCGCGGUAAUACGGAGGAUCCGAGCGUUAUCCGGAUUUAUUGGGUUUAAAGGGAGCGUAGGUGGACUGGUAAGUCAGUUGUGAAAGUUUGCGGCUCAACCGUAAAAUUGCAGUUGAUACUGUCAGUCUUGAGUACAGUAGAGGUGGGCGGAAUUCGUGGUGUAGCGGUGAAAUGCUUAGAUAUCACGAAGAACUCCGAUUGCGAAGGCAGCUCACUGGACUGCAACUGACACUGAUGCUCGAAAGUGUGGGUAUCAAACAGGAUUAGAUACCCUGGUAGUCCACACAGUAAACGAUGAAUACUCGCUGUUUGCGAUAUACAGUAAGCGGCCAAGCGAAAGCAUUAAGUAUUCCACCUGGGGAGUACGCCGGCAACGGUGAAACUCAAAGGAAUUGACGGGGGCCCGCACAAGCGGAGGAACAUGUGGUUUAAUUCGAUGAUACGCGAGGAACCUUACCCGGGCUUAAAUUGCAGUGGAAUGAUGUGGAAACAUGUCAGUGAGCAAUCACCGCUGUGAAGGUGCUGCAUGGUUGUCGUCAGCUCGUGUCGUGAGAUGUUGGGUUAAGUCCCGCAACGAGCGCAACCCUUGUGAUGUGUUACUAACAUUGAGUUGAGGACUCAUAUCAGACUGCCGGUGAUAAACCGGAGGAAGGUGGGGAUGACGUCAAAUCAGCACGGCCCUUACGUCCGGGGCUACACACGUGUUACAAUGGGGGGUACAGAAGGCAGCUAGCGGGUGACCGUAUGCUAAUCCCAAAAUCCUCUCUCAGUUCGGAUCGAAGUCUGCAACCCGACUUCGUGAAGCUGGAUUCGCUAGUAAUCGCGCAUCAGCCACGGCGCGGUGAAUACGUUCCCGGGCCUUGUACACACCGCCCGUCAAGCCAUGGGAGCCGGGGGUACCUGAAGUACGUAACCGCAAGGAUCGUCCUAGGGUAAAACUGGUGACUGGGGCU
rnacentral:rRNA from 1 species